rnacentral:other from 1 species
AAAUCCCUGCGGUGUUCGAGACUGGCCAGUCAUUCCUUGAACCAAUGCCAAUUGGCGAGGCUGCCGACGCCCUGAAGUGAGCCGGUGUGCGCUUCCCACGCGGAAGUGCCUGAUGGCUCCGGCAGGCGGCCACCCUGAACCCAGGUUCAGGAAGCAGGCCUGACGGCACCUGCGGGGACCCA